AGGGGAGGGGCGCCGCGAGCCGGAGCGGGCACCGCCCCCUGCCAGCUCGCUCCCCGAGCGCACCGCGGCCCAGCCGCAAGGCCGCCGGUCCUCACCUUUGAAACGCCGGCAGCUGCGCGCGCUGCGGCGGGCGCGGAGAGGAGCCACCUCGUCACGUGGGGAGGAAAUGCCUUGCCAGCCUCGAAACCUACUGGCUCUUGUUUCUGGGGUUUUAUGGCCAGGAGAGUGGGGUCAGCUCUCAAACCCAAGAUCAAAGGACGGUGCAGGACCCAUCGCCCUGGGAAGUUUUCUCCCCUUUCCCGUCUUUCUCCUUCUCACCUUCUCAGAAAGCGUAGCGAAAGGGGCCUGCCACCCUACUGGCUUUUCCUUUUAGGGAAAUUCCAUUUCCUAACGUGUCCUGUUUUGAAAGAGGCCCAUUUAUUGGGUAAUGACGGCAGCCUGCUAGGCAGAAGUCAGGCCAGGAGCAGUCACUUUGAUUAUUUUAUUCAACGAAUGCCUACUGAUCAUCCUCCUGGGUGCCAGGCGCUAUAGUGGGGCUUCAGUAGUGACCAAGGACUCAGACCCUGCCUUGGCUACCCACAUCACCGAAGAAAUGAGUUAUCAGGCGACAAGGUGACUCCUGGUGCUCAGUACUUGAAAAUCCAAGACACAAGAGCGGGAAAUCCUCUCUGAUGCCAAGAGUGCACACUUUACCUCUGGUUAGAACAGGGGUAAUGCCAGGUUAACAGAACGCUAGCCAUGUGGUUCUAACCUCUGGGGAUUUUAGGCAGCAAAAAUCUCAUCGCAUAGCCAGAGAAAUAAUCACAGAUUCCCACGGCACACUUUCGGGCGGUAUAACAGCUCCUGGCCUGCUUGAGAUCUGUGGGAGUGAGUCAGUGCUGGAGAUCUGAGCUGGAAGCUGCCCGGAGUCCUUCUGCACUGAUAUUUUGUCCCUUUUCCUAACUGUCCUUCGGUCAUUGAUGAGGAUGAGUGUCCCCAGAUGUGCCUGUCUCAGGGCACCCUCUCCCGGGCACACCUGAUUGGAUCAAGCUAUGCACCUGACCCAGGCUGGGUCAACCAAAUUCCCUCUCCCAGGAAUCUGGUAUUGGACUGAGGACAGCCACUCACCUUUGGCUAAUCUCUUUAGGAGAGAAGAUGUAGAUGUGAUAGUUGUUGAGGGAUUAUCCUCUGCCCAGCUACUCACAGAGAAGAAAGUGGAUUGCAGAGAGAGACAUGAAGCAGAGAAGAAAGCUGGAGAAGGUGGACUGUCUAGGUUCCUAGCAGCUUCUCGGGCUACCUUGAGGCCAUCUGUCCUUGGACUUCAUGAGAUACUGCUAUACUCUUCUAUGUCCCUUAAUGCUUACGUCAGCUCAAGUUGAUUACUUCCAACCAAAAGGACUUAGACAAAGACAAAGCCAAGACCAUCAGUGAGGUUUUUUUCUUUAUAACCAGGUCCCUUACAGCAUCCUGGGGAGCACUGUAGGUCCUAAAUACACAUUAUUCACAUUAUUCACUCUCCAAAGGCUUCCAUUAGGCAAAAACAUCUUCUCAUCCAAGGCCAACUAGAUUAGGAAAUGGCAUUUCUUCUGGCUUUCCAUCCCCAGAGGGCAAAUGCACAGAUGACUGCAGUUAGCAAGUGACUUUGUGGGUUAGUAUUUGCUGAAGGCACACACCCAGGGACUUGAAUGACAGAAAUCCCCAGGUGCCAGGGAGAAGACUGGCAAUUAUGCCUCCAAUCACCUCCCUGUUCUGCCGCCCUCUAAAUCAGCACUCCCCACCGCGGUGACCCUCAAUGACUGGCAAGGCGACCCAUUUUUAAAGGGCCAAUUUUUAACAGCUGGAAACAAUAAACGUCGUGGGAGGUGAA